UGUGGAGUCACUGCAUUAAGCAUCCAGUAGAUUUGGUGCGAUUGCUAAAACCCUUUUAGCUAGGGGUUGAAUGAAUACCUGUUACAGAGCUAGAAUAUACGAUCUUUGUUUGUGGAAAUCCUAUCCGAUUUUUAGUAUUGCUAAGUUAUGCACAAACCAUUAGUCUAACCGUUUCAAUUGCAGCGAAAUAUCCCGAAAUGUCACCAACUUUUCGAUAAAUAUAAUUUUAAAAUCGAUCUUUUGGCUAUGACCUCACUACCUAUACAGUUAGCUGACUCCGCAUAUUGCUUAUGUGGUAUUUGCUUAUGAAAAAACUCUUAAUAAUUUCAUGAAAAAGUUAAAAUUAAUUACAAAAUAAAAACGAAAACGACUGUCAGAGUGGACAUAGCUCGAGAAAUGAGUUUUGGAUACAAUAGUACAAUCCAAAGUGACUAAGAAUCUGUUAAUAUUACAGAAAUUUAUGUACAUGAAAUUUCCAGGUCCAAUACAGUUAAUUACUACUGAAGCAUAAGACCAGAAAAAUACUGCUCGAACUCUUGAUCUAUCGUCGGCGCCCUUGUUCCUGAUUGAGCAUCUGCAUUCAAACACAAACAACAUUCAGCAAAACAGAUGGAAAGACUCUAACAAAAGAUGCUUCCAAAAUUCCUCAAGAGUUUACACCUUGCUUAACUGUCCAUCCUCCAGAUGAAGACAGGAGAUAGACGCGAGGGUUCACAGAAUUGGCACAGAGAUCACUAUUAAGGUCUUCAUCCUCACCACCGCCGCUACCAUUGU
rnacentral:lncRNA from 1 species